UACGAAGGGUGCAAGCGUUACUCGGAAUUACUGGGCGUAAAGCGUGCGUAGGUGGUUCGUUAAGUCUGAUGUGAAAGCCCUGGGCUCAACCUGGGAAUUGCAUUGGAAACUGGCGGGCUAGAGUACGGUAGAGGGUAGUGGAAUUCCUGGUGUAGCAGUGAAAUGCGUAGAGAUCAGGAGGAACAUCCGUGGCGAAGGCGACUACCUGGACCAGUACUGACACUGAGGCACGAAAGCGUGGGGAGCAAACAGGAUUAGAAACCCCAGUAGUCC
rnacentral:rRNA from 1 species